GUCUUGCGCGUAUGUGAAUGCUUCUAGCCGUUUCUUUCAGUCUUCAGCCUCUUUAUAUACUCCAAGGAUUAGGGUUGAGCAAUGCAUGGGAAAUGCUACCGUUGGAGGGCAGUUCUGGAAAAUCCAGCUUCUGCUGUGGCUGAGAACGUUAGGUAGGUCGUCAGGAAGGUACAGUUGCUUUUGUACUUGGAUAGCGACUUGACCUUUAAACCUAGGAGACUUCUGAUCAGGGGAAUACUU
rnacentral:lncRNA from 1 species